UUCAGUGUCAAAAGAUUGUCUACUGACAUAAGAGAAAAAAGUGACAAGCAAGAGGGGGUAGAGAAAGAGAGAGAGAGAGAGAGAGAGAGAGAGAGAGAGA